GACGAACGCUGGCGGCGUGCUUAACACAUGCAAGUCGAACGGUGACGAAUGGAGCUUGCUCUGUUCUGAUCAGUGGCGAACGGGUGAGUAACACGUGAGUAACCUGCCCCUGACUCUGGAAUAACUUCGGGAAACCGAAGCUAAUACCGGAUAUGACACAGAGCCGCAUGGUUUCUGUGUGGAAAGUUUUUCGGUUGGGGAUGGACUCGCGGCCUAUCAGCUUGUUGGUGAGGUAAUGGCUCACCAAGGCGACGACGGGUAGCCGGCCUGAGAGGCGACCGGCCACACUGGGACUGAGACACGGCCCAGACUCCUACGGGAGGCAGCAGUGGGGAAUAUUGCACAAUGGGCGAAAGCCUGAUGCAGCGACGCCGCGUGAGGGA
rnacentral:rRNA from 1 species